AGAGUUUGAUCCUGGCUCAGGAUGAACGCUAGCGGGAGGCCUAAUACAUGCAAGUCGAGCGGUAACUUUCUUCGGGAAGCUAGAGCGGCGCACGGGUGAGUAACGCGUACAUGACCUGCCUUUAAGACCGGGAUAGCCCUGGGAAACUGGGAUUAAUACCGGAUGUGAUAAUAGAUAUAAAGAUUUAUUAUUAAAGUUACGGCGCUUAGAGAUGGAUGUGCGUCUGAUUAGCUAGUUGGUAGGGUAACGGCCUACCAAGGCUACGAUCAGUAGGGGGCGUGAGAGCGUGCCCCCCCACACGGGUACUGAGACACGGACCCGACUCCUACGGGAGGCAGCAGUAAGGAAUAUUGGUCAAUGGACGAAAGUCUGAACCACCCAUCCCGCGUGCAGGAUGAAGGUCCUAUGGAUUGUAAACUGCUUUUAGCAAAAAAAAAAAGCAUCCUUUUAAGGGUGUCUGACGGUAUCUGCGGAAUAAGCACCGGCUAACUCCGUGCCAGCAGCCGCGGUAAUAACGGAGGGUGCAAGCGUUAUCCGGAAUCACUGGGUUUAAAGGGUGCGUAGGCGGAAUAUUAAGUCAGUGGUGAAAGCCUGUCGCUUAACGAUAGAACUGCCAUUGAUACUGAUAUUCUUGAAUUGGGGUUGAGGUUAGCGGAAUGUGACAUGGUAGCGGUGAAAUGCAUAGAUAUGUCAUGGAACACCAAUUGCGACGCAGCUAGCUGGGUCUUUGAUUGACGCUGAGCACGAAGCGUGGUAGCGACAGGAUUAGAUACCCUGUUAGUCACGCCUAACGAUGCUACCUCGAUGUAGAACUGAGGUUCGAGCAUCGAGCAACGAUAGUUAGCUAGCUGGAGAGUACGACCGCUAGGUGAUCUCAUGUACGACGGCUCGCUAUCGGAUGCGAACCAUGUGAUUUAAGGUCAG
rnacentral:rRNA from 1 species